CAGAGAAGUCAAUGAUGGUUUUACCCAAAAAUGUCUGAACCUGUCUGAAGCAUCUCAGUGAUGCAAUCUCUGUGUGGUUCUGAGACUUCUCUGAGA
ensembl:snoRNA